rnacentral:rRNA from 1 species
GCGUGGAGGAAGAAGGUUUUCGGAUCGUAAACUCCUGUCCCGAGGGACGAAGCAAGUGACGGUACCUUGGGAGGAAGCCCCGGCUAACUCCGUGCCAGCAGCCGCGGUAAUACGGGGGGGGCGAGCGUUGUUCGGAAUUACUGGGCGUAAAGGGCGCGUAGGCGGUUUUGGAAGUCAUGGGUGAAAGCCCCGGGCUCAACCCGGGAAUGGCCUGUGAAACCACGGAACUGGAGUGCUGGAGAGGGAAGCGGAAUUCCCAGUGUAGCGGUGAAAUGCGU